UUUAAAGUUCCCCUGCCCUUUGUACACACCCGCCCCGUCGGCUACUACCGAUGGAAUGGGCUUCAGUGAGGGCUUCCCGGACUGGCCCCAGGGAGGGUCGGCAACGACCACCCCAGGGCCGGAAAGUUUAUCCAAACUCGGUCAUUUAGAGGAAGUAAAAGUCGUAACAAGGUCUYSGUUGGUGAACCAGCGGAGGGAUCAUUA
rnacentral:rRNA from 1 species